UCAUGCCUGUAAUCCCAGCACUUUGGGAGGCUGAGGCAGUCAGAUCUCUUGAGCCCAGGAGUUCGAGACCUGCCUGGGCAAUACAGCAAGACUCCAUCUGGACAGAAAACACAAAAGUGGGCCAGGUGUGCUGGACACCUGUGGUCCUAGUUAUUCAGGAGGCUUAGGUGGGAGGAUGGCUUGAGCCCGGGAGGCAGGGGCUACAGUGAGCUGUGAUCACACCCCUGCACUCCAGCCUGGGUGACAGAGUGAGACCCUGUCUCAAAAUAAAAAAGGAGUGUAGUGAGGUCUGGGCAGCAUGUCACAUUAUUGGGAACUUCAGGAACCUUGAGGCCAUGGCUCUAGGGACAUCCACAAGAGGACAGGGAACUCAAGGCCAGCAGGACAUGGCCUGGGACUGUUGUUAACAACACUGGGGAGGAUCAUCCCAACAGCCACAGCCUCCUGUGGUCACCAGACCAAGAUGAGCAGCCUCUGUGGCCUGGGUCAGGUGGGUGCUCAAGGACUAUGGACCACUGGCCCAAUUGCUCUCAGUAAAUACAAACACCUCCUCCACCUGGCACAGCAAUGGGGAGGCCUGAGAAGACUCCUGCAGCCCCCACAAGCCCAGGUCCCAGCAGUGAUAAUGGAGCCCUGUUAACUGAGUUGGCUUUGCCAGUAGGGCAGGGGGAUUUCAUAAGACCAUUUUUCAUCCCCUAUUCCCCUGAGGUAGGUACUAUUAUUAUCCCCAUUUUACAGGAAGAAAAACUGAGCUCGUAAGAGGUUAAGCCUUGGUUAGGCAACUUACUUGAGGUCAGCUGACCGAUAAGUGGUGGACCUAGGACUGGAACUCGCAUAUGACUGACCCUUGCAGAACCCUCACCCUUAACCAUGGGGCCACACAGCCUUGUAGGAACAGCAGUGUGAGAAAGCAGCCGAUCAGAAGCCAGUGUGGACAGGGCUGGGAACACGGCACCACGGAAAACAAGGCAGAGUGUACCCCCGGCAGGCUUUGCUUAGAGAGACAACGUUCGGAAUUCCAGGAAAGUCCAAGUCUGAGUCAAACCACAGUGAGGCUAGCAGGAGACCAGGGCACACGGGAGUGACAGCUCACGACGCACCACACAUUACAGUUGACCAUCCUUUUUUCUGUCCGCUCUUACAACAGAUCCACCCCCAAACUGCAAUGCGACAUUUGUGAGCCCCAGUUUAGAGACGGGGAAGUGAAGGCUCAGAGAGGAAGCGACUUCCUACAGCUGCCCGGCUGGCACGUGGCACAGCCAGAAUAGAAUCCUGCUCACGGGAUUCCAAAUCCAAAACUCUCCAAGGAGCAACAAUGGUGGUGGCCACAGCAACACCAAUGACUCACUAGGGAUCAUCUCAUCACGUCCUAUUAUUACAUCCAUUUCACACAUGAGGAAACUGACCUGCAGAGUAGUAAUUAACUGUCCCAAGAUCACACAGCUAAUAAGUAGUGCCAAAGUCAGGGUUUGAACCCAGCUCCAGACCCAUGUGGUUGGCCACAUCUCCACAAGGUUGGGCCCUCCAGAGAGCAUCUCAGAGACCUGGAGCUUCAGAUACAUCCCCUGAGAAAUUUCCAGAAAAGAGCUGCAGUCAGAAAGUUCAAGAACAGGCCAGGCGUGGUGGCUCACGCCUAUAAUCCCAGCACCUUGGGAGGCCGAGGGGAGUGGAUCACCUGAGGUCAGGAGUUCGAGACCAGCCUGAACAACAUGGUGAAACCCCCUCUCUACUAAAAAAUACAAACAAUUAGCCAGGCAUGGUAGUGGAUGCCUGUAAUCCUAGCUCCUCAGGAGGCCGAAGCAGGAGAAUCGAUUGAACCUGGGAGGUGGAGAUUGCAGUGAGCCGAGAUCGCGCCAUUGCAUUCCAGCCUGGGCAACAAGAGCGAAACUCCAUCUCAAAAAAGAAAAAGAACGUUCAAGGACAAAAUGAGAACAAAGACCAGGAACCAUUCUGAAUUCCUAAGUCACUUGCGGGAGUUGGGUAGGCUCGGGGGUUCUCCUAAGAGAGGCUAGAAAGCUGGGGCUCAAAGAACUAAAAAGGCUGGGAUGUUUCCUCCUCAGUUUCCUUUCUUAAAAAGGCCUGCUGCCAAGACACAACCAGAAUCCUCACAUGAAGGAGACUGCGCCCAGGGAAGGACCCUCGAGCCAGAGGAUGGUGCACUCCCGGAGCUGGCAAGGAUCCCAGGGCCCAUUUUCAGAUGAAUCACAUGAGAAGGGACAAGAAACACCUCAAAACACAAGACUGUCCCUGAAGCAACAUCAACCCCUGCACCCGUGUUCAGAUCAGGGGCUGGGACAACAAGCUGCCCGGGCCAGGACAUCCUUUUGCACCAGGAAGGACACGUCCCCUUGAAGGGUAUGUGUUUCCCACACUCCAUCCUGCCCCACCAUUUGUACACAUUCCUUCAAGGCUCUGUGAAAAUGUGGCUUCCAGAAAGGGCAGAAUCAGUGUGUGUGGAUGGUCAGGAGAAUGUGGGGGAGUGGUGGGCCCUCUCAUGCACCAGCUUUCUUCGGGGGUGGGCCUUGGCAGCACCCCCAGAUAGCCCUGGUGUCAAUCCUCUGCCACUGCCUUCUUGGCCCCUGCCUGGUUUGCCUUCAUCCCUUCGUGAUUAUUUGGUCACUCUCUGGCACCUCUGCUAGACUCUCUUGUCUCUUUCUGCACUGUACCUCUGACCCUAGCACAGACUGGCACAUUCUAAAUAAUCUGUUGAACAAAUGCAUUAAUCAAAAAUGGGCAGAGCUUGUACUGCCCUGAAAAUACUCAAAGCUAUCACUGCAUGAACACAGCACAGGUAUUUGUUUAAGGAGCUCACUGCAAUCAGAAACAAUACAGAGGAUCUGUUAUAAAUAAUUUAUGGUAAGCCCUGAAGUAGACUAUUAUGCAGCCGUGUAAAAGAAAGAGGUAGGGCCGGGUGUAAUGGCUCACACCUGUAAUCCCAGCAUUUUGGGAAGCCAAGGCAGAGCCCACAAGUUCGGGACCAGCCUGGGCAACAUGAUGAAACCUCCAUCUCUACAAAAAUUACAAAAAUUAGCCAGGCGUGGUGGCACAUGCCUGUAGUCCCAGCUACUCAGGAGGCUGAGGUGAGAUGACUUGGCUGGAGGUUGCAGAGAUUGUACCACUGCAUUCCAGCCUGGGCAAUAGAGCCAGACCUUGCUCAAAAAAAAAGAAAAGAAAAGAAAAAGGGUAGUUCUCUAUGUGUUGAUGAGCAUGAAGAGAUUACCAGGACUUACUUAAGGGAAAGAGCUAGUGACAGAAUAACAUGUAAAAUAAAUAAUAAAAAUCAUAUAAAUAUGCACUGGGAACUGUGGCUCAUGCCUGUAAUCCCAGCACUUUGGGAGGUUGAGAUGGGCAGAUCACUUGAGGUCAGGAGUUCAAGACCAGUCUGGCCAACAUGGUGAAACCCCAUCUCUACUAAAAAUACAAAAAUUAGCCGGGUGUGGUGGCACAUGCCUGUAGUCCCAGCUACUUGGGAGGCUAAGGCAUGAGAAUCGCUUGAACCUGGGAGGUGAAGGUUGCAGUGGGCUGCGAUCAUGCCACUGCACUCCAGCCUGGGCAACAGAGCGAGACUCUGUCUCAAAAAAAAAAAAAAAAUCAUAUAAAUAUGGCUGGGUGCAGUGGCUCACACCUGUAAUCCCAGUACUUUGGGAGGUUGGGGCGGGCAGAUCACUCGAGGUUAGGAGUUCAGACCAGCCUGGCCAACACGAUGAAACCCUGUCUCUACUACAAAUACAAACAUUAGCUGGGCAUGGUGGCACACGCUUGUAAUCCCAGCUACUUGGGAGGCUGAGACAGGAGAAUCACUUGAAUCCGGGAGGCGGAGGUUGCAGUGAGCUGCGAUCAUGCCAUUGCACUCCAGCCUGGGCGACAGAGCGAGACUC